rnacentral:rRNA from 1 species
AAGGUAUGUCCGGAAUUACUGGGCGUAAAGGGCGUGUAGGCGGCAAUGUAAGUCAGGAGUGAAACCCGUCGGCUUAACCGACGGCCUGCUUCUGAAACUGCAUCGCUUGAGUGCAGGAGAGGGAAGUGGAAUUCCCAGUGUAGCGGUGAAAUGCGUAGAUAUUGGGAGGAACACCAGUGGCGAAAGCGGCUUCCUGGCCUGUAACUGACGCUGAGGCGCGAAAGCGUGGGGAGCAAACAGGAUUAGAUACCCUGGUAGUCCACGCCGUAAACGAUGGGUGCUAGGUGUUGGGGGUAUCGACCCCCUCAGUGCCGCAGUUAACGCAAUAAGCACCCC